UCUUCCCAGGCUGAGCCCAUGGAGGGAUGGCACAGCUUGGUAAAUGCCUGCAGACACACUACGAGCGUGGGCAGCAGUGUGGGAGGGAAACAAGAGCCUUUUUUGUGGGUACCAGAUAGAGAGCUGAUGGUAGGCUGCAAUAUCUGGUCAGGCAGAGCUCAGAGCAAAUGCCUGCUUGCAUAGUGUCCUGUUGCCUCCAGGGAUGACAGUGUCUCCAUCCAUCACUUUCUGAGUUCUGCAGGAUUAAGAGAUGCUCCUGGUGAAGGAGAUUGGACCAGCUGGGUGCUACUUACUGUGCUUUGAUGGUUUUAGUCAGUGUGCCAGGGUGAGAAGGAAGAAAGGGACCCAGGAAACUCAACUGCUGUGAAUUUUGCAUGGACCUCUGUGUUCAGGUAUGUUCUGCAUCUUGGAAGGAGGAGUGGAUGGAGAGGAUUCAGCAGAGCAAACCAACAGCAAACAGGUCACUGCAACACUCCUGGCUGCCAACGGGGCCAAGAAAAAAAGAACCACCACAAUCUAGAGAGGCUGGAAAAAGGCCCAUGUAAUCAUUUCUCAGUGGGACACAAGAAGAAACAGAAAUCAAAGCCUCUGGACACAGUUUCCCCAACUCAGCUUCUGGAGCCUGGAUCAGCAGUUUUUCAGAGGAUAGAAAAGGAAGCUUGAGUUAUGCUCCUCUUUCUGUGCAUGGAAAUAAUAAAAUGAAGGGUAAAGCCAAGCAUCAGUCAUACAGCAAACUGCAAAGUGGCGGCAUUUCCCAGAAAUUGAAGCAAAUGCAAAAUAGUUUGUUUUUGGGGUUAAGUACGUGUCACUUAGAUAUAAAUUCUGCCAUGUGCACCAUUUGUUAAAGCCUCUGUCACACAAACCCAGCUCUUUUCCAGCACAUGCUCACAGCAGGGCUGAGGUACUUAACAGCUUCUAACAAGGACAAUUUACCUGGUGGGAUGUAGCCUAGUGAAUUGCAAGACCUACUUUAUGGAAUAAGCCACAGAGCACAUGAAAUAUCGAUGUGAAGGGCACACGCAGCACGUCAGGAGUCAGCACACAAGUACCCUUUUAAGGCAGUAUGGCAUUGGACCAAAAUAAAAUGAUGGUUUUCCUCCAUGAGAGGAGCAACACAGAGAGAGAGAAUUUUUCUUUGCCUUCCUCCAUGACUAAAGCUCUCAGACCCACAGUCCUCCCUUGCUGUAUGAGGGAAAAGGUGCCAUGCAGAGCUCCAGGUGACAGUGACCCUUCUCCUCCAAGGGUGCAAGGGCCGUCCUGCCCCAGGCUCCCCCUGUGGGAUCAUUCUGUCUCUCAGCACAUUUGGCCAAAGCAGGUUCAAACUCCACAACUAUAGAAACAUCCACCCUAGUCACAAGGAUAGUAAACAGUCUUUCAUUUCCAGCUUGGUUUUUUGGAUUCACUCCCAUUCUUAUACCCACGGAGAAAAAGAGCUCUUGUGCUUCACAUUCUGAAUGUGUGAUCCUUGGCCUCACAGCUGUCACAUGGACAUUUUUGUGCUCAAGAAGCUGCUCCUAGGAUGCUAUUUGAUUGCCAAGGAACUCUAAGUUUAACCUGAAGAAGAUCUCUAUGUGAAAGAGGUGGAAAAUUCCUGUAGAAGAAACUAAAAGUAAUUUUUUUCCUCCUAGCUGAAGCAUCUCUUGGGCAGCCAGUUCCAACAUGCAAAGCUAUGUCCAAAAAAAUAAUAAAUCCUAGGAAUGACAAUGGGCUUAGAAACCUGCUUGGUGCAUGAAGCAGAUAACUAGUGUUCACUUAUACCACAGAAGGUGACAUACUUUGGUGUUUUAGUUGCCUGUGGUGUUGCUAUAAUCAGUUUUCCCUCUGCAGGGAAAAAAAAUUAAAGUAUUUCUGUGGAAUAGCUUUUUCUCCAAAAGCAGAGGAAAGCAAGCAAGCGUUCAGAAAUGUAGCCUGGGGGGCAGCAUGAGUGCUUCUGACAGUGCUAAGAACAAAGACAUUGUAAACUACAAAGCUCUUCACUUGGUAUCAGUAUUCCUGCCAGAAACCCUCCAGAUUUACCUGUAAGCAGUAAUUACAGUAUGGGAAAGGAUGUGUUUAUUCUGCUGUAUACCUGACCAGAUAGAAAGGAGCCCAGCUCUCGAAACACCUCACAAGUACAUUUAUUAGUCAGGAUCAAUCUGUCUCAAAGCAUGACCCAUUUCAUACCCCAAAUGGCAUUUCAUUACAGUGCAGCUGCACAAGCCUCUGUUCUCCCUGCCCAGAUCCUUGAUUUGCCAGGGCAGAGGGUAGCACAGCCCUCAUUUACACACAUCGCUUCCUGGAUUUGUUUAGGUUUGAGCACAGGAGUUCAAGAGAAGUCUUUGGUUUUGUCCUAAUCAUUUGAAAAGCUUCUUUCUUUUCUUUCUCCACUGUUUAUUGUCCCCAUCUUCAGUAUCAUCAGGAGGGUCUGGCAUUACAAAGCCAUCAGUCAGUUUAUAAUAGACUAUUGUGGAAUCUGUCUCAACUAUGGCCAAGGUAACUGACAGCGGGGUGUCAGGAUCCUCUGGGGGGAGAGAGGCUUCUUUCAGUAUUUCCCUUAACCUAGAAAAAGAAAAAAAUUCAGUUAGAAAGGAGUCCACAACCACCUGUGAUGGCACAAAGGCAGAAGUGCACAAUUGCUAUUUUUAUUCAGCCUAGUUUUAUUCUGCAAACUUGUCUCCACUAAAGAAAACAUCGUAUCUGUUCUAAUAAAAUUCCAAAUUCAUAUAAUCAAGAAACAAAAGAAAAUAACAGAGAAUCUUAUACAAAUAUACCGGUUUCAUACGUUUCUGCUGGAAAUGGCACAACACACGCUUCUAAGCUUUCCUUAGGUGCAUUCCUGUGCACGUGCCUCAGCCAUCCUUCAACUAUCACAAUCCUAGCAUGGCAAUCUCUAAUGGCCCUGUUUUCAUUAGGCUAAAAUAAAAAAUCUAAUUAAAUAACACCUGGUGUUCAAUUAGACAACUAAAUAAUUAAGACUUGAUCCAUCUGUAGAGGCAAGUCUUCCAGUCUCUGUGCCACAGUUCUCUGCCAGACUGUGGAAGACCCAGGAGCCCAAGCCAGGUUUCUCUACCUCCCUGUCUAGACUAGAAGCCACAAGACUAAUGUUCUUCAGGACAGUCAGCAUAAAUAACGUCUUCUUUAAAAAUUCAAGACAAAGUUAUGCAAUUUUUCCUGUUUAGCUUAUUUUAAGAGGAAUAUGGCAGUUACUUUUCGGUUCAGAGCUGAGGACAACACUGAUCCCUGGAGUCUUUGGAUUCCUGGCACGACUGGGGAACAAGUACUGAAGGAGAGUGGUGCCCAGGGGCAGAACAAUAAAAACCCCCACCCCGAGAUUUCCACAGGAAGCUUCCUCCUUCAUCCAGAGGGCUUGUCUGGGAUUGCUGGAAGAGGUUAUGCUCUGGGAACAGGUCAGCUACGCACUGGGAAAAACCACCCUCACUUCACGUGCCCUGGAGAUCUCCCCCACCAGAAGACAUGCAUUUCUGAAGCUGGACACUGCAGCUGAAAAUAAGGCUCUUUCUAAAUGCAUCAGCUUUCAAACUUUAAUCAUCAUCUUCCUUCGAAACCUCUUUGAUCCCUUAAUAAAAGCCAAAUGGAAGGCGGCAGAGAAUAAAGAGCAGCCUGGAAAGCCUGCAUUGUUAAGCCCGUGACCUUCUUAAGAUCCAUCUGUGUUCUGAACUGUGCAUAAUUCAGCCUGGCUAAAUCCAGGACUGCCUUGCCUUUUGCUUUCACCACUGGCCCACACAUAAAGCAAGGCAAUACAAUAUAGGCAGUAAUUGCAUGCAACAGGGACACCGUGGCUGUGAAAAGCUACAGCCUGGCUCUCCUACAACAGCACACUUCAUAACAACUGAACAAAUAAGGUAAGAAAGACUGUACUGUACUGGCCACCUGGGCACCUUCUGCUCCUGUCACUUCCAGCCCCUGUUCAGGGGUACACAGCAAGAAUCCACUUGUCACACACGGAGUCAUGGAAUGAUUUGGGUUGGCAGUGACCUUAAAGGUAAUCCAGUUCCAACACCCCUGCCCUGGGCAGGGACACCUUCCACUAGCCCAGGUCGCUCCAAGCCCCGUCCAACCUGG